rnacentral:rRNA from 1 species
GACGAACGCUGGCGGCGUGCUUAACACAUGCAAGUCGAACGGUGAAGCGCCUUCCUUUUUGGUGGGUGUGGAUGAGCGGCGAACGGGUGAGUAACACGUGAGUAACCUGCCCCCUUCUUCUGGAUAACCGCAUGAAAGUGUGGCUAAUACGGGAUAUUCUGGGUCUGUCGCAUGAUGGGUCUGGGAAAGAUAUUGUUUCGGUGGGGGAUGGGCUCGCGGCCUAUCAGCUUGUUGGUGGGGUGAUGGCCUACCAAGGCGGUGACGGGUAGCCGGCCUGAGAGGGUGGACGGUCACACUGGGACUGCGACACGGCCCAGACUCCUACGGGAGGCAGCAGUGGGGAAUAGUGCACAAUGGGCGCAAGCCUGAUGCAGCGACGCCGCGUGAGGGAUGGAGGCCUUCGGGUUGUGAACCUCUUUCGCCAGUGAAGCAGGCCUGCCUCGUUUGUGGGUGGGUUGACGGUAGCUGGAGAAGAAGCGCCGGCUAACUACGUG